UGGGCCAAAGUAGUGGAGGCGUGAGACGUAGAGUCGCGACCAUUCCUAAAACUUGAAAAACCUUAAACACAAAAAAAAUGGAAUAAAUUGCAACCACCAAAACACACGAAAGAUACUAUUACGAAGAAACCAAAAUUGAAAGAGCGAAUUGAGAACCAAAAUUAUUGAAGCACAUGUGAAGGGAAAAAAAGAAGAGUUAGAAAGAUUUAACCCUGGAUUAUGGAGGUGGGAGUGGGAUGAAAGAUUUGUGCCUUGCGAAAGGAAUCCUUAGAUUAGGAGAUUUGAUUUUGUGUGGUUCACAAUUGAAACAGAUAGGAAAGAAAUGAUUGUGAGAAGAAC
rnacentral:lncRNA from 1 species